GGAAGCGUGCCAGAGCGGUUGAAUGGACUGGUCUUGAAAACCAGCGACGGGGUAACCCGUCCGUGAGUUCGAAUCUCACCGCUUCCGCCA
rnacentral:tRNA from 2 species